UGCGUAGGCGGAAUAUUAAGUCAGUGGUGAAAUCCUGCAGCUUAACUGUAGAACUGCCAUUGAUACUGGUAAUCUUGAAUUUAGUUGAGGUGGGCGGAAUGUGUAAUGUAGCGGUGAAAUGCUUAGAUAUUACACAGAACACCGAUUGCGAAGGCAGCUCACUAAACUAACAUUGACGCUGAGGCACGAAAGCGUGGGGAGCGAACAGGAUUAGAUACCCUGGUAGUC
rnacentral:rRNA from 1 species